AUUGAACGCUGGCGGCAGGCCUAACACAUGCAAGUCGAACGGUAACAGGAAACAGCUUGCUGUUUCGCUGACGAGUGGCGGACGGGUGAGUAAUGUCUGGGAAACUGCCUGAUGGAGGGGGAUAACUACUGGAAACGGUAGCUAACACCGCAUAACGUCGCAAGACCAAAGAGGGGGACCUUCGGGCCUCGUGCCCUCGGAUGUGCCCAGAUGGGAUUAGAUAGUAGGUGGGGUAACGGCUUACCUAGGCGACGAUCCCUAGCUGGUCUGAGAGGAUGACCAGCCACACGGGAACUGAGACACGGUCCAGACUCCUACGGGAGGCAGCAGUGGGGAAUAUUGCACAAUGGGCGCAAGCCUGAUGCAGCCAUGCCGCGUGUAUGAAGAAGGCCUUCGGGUUGUAAAGUACUUUCAGCGGGGAGGAAGGGAGUAAAGUUAAUACCUUUGCUCAUUGACGUUACCCGCAGAAGAAGCACCGGCUAACUCCGUGCCAGCCGCCGCGGUAA
rnacentral:rRNA from 1 species